AGUGAACGCUGGCGGUAUGCCUAACACAUGCAAGUCGAACGGCAGCACAGUAAGAGCUUGCUCUUACGGGUGUCGAGUGGCGGACGGUUGAGGAAUACAUCGGAAUCUACUUUUUCGUGGGGGAUAACGUAGGGAAACUUACGCUAAUACCGCAUACGUCCUACGGGUGAAAGCAGGGGAUGUUCGGACCUUUCGCGAUGGAAUGAGCCGAUGUCGGAUUAGCUAGUUGGCGGGGUAAAGGCCCACCAAGGCGACGAUCCGUAGCUGGUCUGAGAGGAUGAUCAGCCACACUGGAACUGAGACACGGUCCAGACUCCUACGGGAGGCAGCAGUGGGGAAUAUUGGACAAUGGGCGCAAGCCUGAUCCAGCCAUACCGCGUAGGUGCAGAAGGACUUCGGGUUGUAAAGCCAUUUUGUUGGGAAAGAAAAGCAGCAGGUUAAUACCCCGCUGUUCUGACGGUACCCAAAGAAUAAGCACCGGCUAACUCCGUG
rnacentral:rRNA from 1 species